CAUAGCAAGCAAAAGUGUCUGUGGUCUACAAGUUCGAGGACUAGAGUCUGGAAAACAGAUUCAGCUGCGCCAAGCCUAUACUCGUGGUUUCAUCCCGGUCGACAAGUCCUACAUUCCGACUUCCGAAACAGCGCUGCUCUGGCCUCAUCUAAAGCAUCUAGCAAACAAACUUCCACUGCUGAAGGACUGUGAGGUGGGACUGUUAAUUGGAAACGAUUGCCCGUUGGCGCUAGCCCCCCAGGAAGUCGUCAUAGGAGGCGAAAAUGAUCCAUUCGCCCAGAGAACGGAACUCGGCUGGAGCAUCGUAGGCUAAUCCAAUCCACAUCUGGAUCGCCAGGGAAACCAGAGGUUCGUCCAUCGAGUGACAGUGAAGGAAAUACCAGCGCCAUCAACCAAUGACGUGCUGAAGGUCUUGGAAUCAGACUUCAAUGAAAGGAAGUAUGCAGAUAAAGACAAGUAUGUGUCACAAGACGACGUUCGCUUCAUUCAGCUCCUGGGUGACAACAUAACUCAAAGGAAAGAUGGACACUAUGAAAUGCCCCUUCCUUUCAAGAGUACAGAGCCACCUCUGCUACCAGACAACAAGAAGCUGGCAACAGUUCUACUGCAGCACCUAAAGAAAAGAUUGAAAAAUAACGAGCGGUAUGAAGAACCGUACAAAGCCUUCAUGAAGGAUAUGAUAAAGAAAGGUGACGCAGAGCCAGCCUCUCCUGCGACAGAACAGCAGACUACGUGGUACAUACCACACCAUGGGGUGUUCCACCCCAAGAAGCCAGAGAAGCUAAGGGUCGUCUUUGACUGUUCAGCGAAGUUCCGUGGUGUCUCACUAAAUGAUACAUUGCUAACAGGUCCUGACCUGAUCAACUCUCUCCUUGGAGUGCUCUGUCGUUUCAGGAAAGAGGCUGCAGCCAUCAUUUGCGACAUCGAGAAAAUGUUCCAUCAGUUUUACGUUUCUCCUGAAUUACGGAACUACUUACGGUUUCUCUGGUGGGAGGAUGGAAACCUCGAAGCAGAGUCUCAAGAGUAUCAAAUGGCUGUCCACCUAUUCGGUGCCGCUUCGUCACCCGGAUGUGCCAACUUUGGCCUGAAGUACUUGGCACGUCAACACAAGGAAGAGUAUCCAUCAGCAUCAGCCUUUGUUGAAAAGAACUUCUACGUCGAUGAUGGGCUUAUCAGCGUCCCCUCCGUAGAAGAAGCAAAGGAGUUAAUUGCUGAAGCACAAGAGUUGUGCAAGAAAGGAGGUUUGCGUCUACACAAGUUCAACUCAAACGAAAGAUCAGUUCUGGACUCUGUGGACCCAACUGAGAGAGCAGUCACAUCUGAACCCCUAAAUCUGGACCUAAAUGCAGCUCCAGCAGAACGUGCUCUUGGUGUCCAGUGGUCCCUUGAACACGACACCUUCAGCCUCAAUGUAAACCCACAACCCAGGCCAUCCACACGUCGCGGAAUCCUAUCCGUCAUUGCUUCUUUGUACGAUCCAGUCGGAUUCGUGGCUCCGUUUAUCUUAACUGGAAAGUGCGUCCUCCAGGAACUGUGUCGUCGAGGCAUUGACUGGGAUGACCCACUUCCCGAAGACUUAAGUCCACGGUGGGAGAGUUGGAAGAGCGACCUACAAAGGCUGAAGGAAGUCUCAAUACCGAGAUGCUACCAACCACAAGGCUUCUGCAAAACUGUCACAAGGGAACUGCACCACUUUUCCGAUGCCAGCAAUAUAGGAUAUGGCUCGUGUUCCUAUCUGAGAAGCAAAAAUGAAGAUGGUGAAGUUCACUGCAGCCUCGUGAUGGCAAAGGCUAGAGUUGCGCCUACAAAACUCACAAGCAUUCCAAGAUUGGAACUUUCAGCAGCAGUGGUCGCUGCAAGAUCAAGUGUCAUGCUGAGAAACAAGCUUGAAAUGCCGAUCCAUGCAGAAUUCUUCUGGACUGACUCCCAAGUUGUCCUGGCUUAUAUCAGUAAUGAAGCAAGAAGGUUCCAUGUCUUCGUUGCCAAUCGUGUGCAAAUGAUCAGAGAGCACACCAGCCCCAGCCAAUGGCACUACAUAGACACAACAGAAAACCCUGCUGACCAUGCGUCGAGAGGUCUAAACGCAGUGGACAUCUCCUCAACAAACUGGCUAUCAGGACCCAAGUUCCUGUGGGAACAAGAAAUACAUCCAGAGUCUCGCCUCACUCCUGAGUUGCUUGUCGGUGAUCCUGAGGUCAGGUCAAUGCAGGCGUUCACAACUAAGGUUGAACCUUCCGAGUCAGACUUUCUUACCCGUCUAAAUCGAUUCUCCUCCUGGUCAAAACUCCUGAAAGUCAUUGCAAGAAUCAAGAGGCUGAACUCAAAGCAAAAUCAUCCUGGCAAACCUGUGAGUGUAGAAGAACGCGAAAGAGCUGCCAAAUCGGUAGUGAAGCUUGUACAAGAAGAAGCAGAGAUGGAGACACUUCAAAAGGGAAAAAGUCUUCAAAACUCCAGCCCUCUGUUUCGCUUGAAUCCCAUCUUAGAAGGAGGAGCACUUCGUGUUGGUGGAAGACUGGAUCAGUCAUCCUUAAGCCUAGAAGUCAAACACCCUUUGAUUCUACCCAAAGGAGAACAUAUUACCAAGUUGAUUUUGACCCACUGCCACGAGAGGAUCUGUCACCAAGGACGUAAUCAAACUCUAACAGAACUUCGAGCCAAUGGGUUUUGGGUCAUUGGUGGAAGUAAUUCAGUUGCUAAGCUGAUACACAGAUGUGUGAAGUGCAGAAGACUCAGACGGCCUGUAGAAGAACAACGCAUGGCAGAGCUUCCUAAGGAACGUGUGGAAGUCUCUGCUCCCUUCACAUACUGUGGCAUCGAUUGCUUCGGCCCAUUCAUCACUAAGAAAGCCCGCAAAGAGCAAAAGCGCUAUGGCUUAAUCUUCACUUGCCUUGCCUCUCGAUCUGUUCACAUUGAGAUGCUUGAGGACUUAUCCACAGAUGCAUUUAUCAACGCCUUAAGAUGCUUCAUCAGUCUCAGAGGAGCUGUUCGUCAAAUCCAUUGCGAUCAAGGAACCAAUUUUGUGGGAGCUAGAAAUGAGUUCCAAGAGUCACUGAAACAAUGUGACACCAAAACAAUCGAUAGCUUCCUCGCAGAAAAGCAGUGUGAGUUCAUCUUCAAUGCUCCCUCAGCAAGUCACGCUGGCGGCGUGUGGGGAGCGCCAGAUUCGGACUGUCCGUAAUGUCUUAAAUGCCACACUCUGUCAAUACUUAGGCAGACUCGACGACUCUUCCCUUCGAACUCUGUUCUAUGAGGCGAUGGCCAUUGUGAACAGCCGCCCGUUAACUGUAAACGGAGUAAAUGAUCCUACCUCACUCGAACCAUUAACUCCAAACCAUCUCAUACUGAUGAAGUCCAAGAUUGCACUUCCACCGCCUGGCAAAUUUGAGAAGGAGGAUGUGUAUGCAACUAAAAGGUGGCGAAGAGUCCAGUACCUUGUUGAACAGUUCUGGAGCCGGUGGAGGAGAGAAUAUCUCAUGAACAUCUCCACACGCCAAAAGUGGCAUACAACUCGACGCAGCCUUAAGGUAGACGACUUAGUCAUUAUAAGGGAAGACACCCCUAGAAAUCAGUGGCACCUGGGACGAGUGGUUGAAACCACAAAAGGGGAGCGAUGGUCUAGUGCGUCGCGUCAAGGUGUUAGUAGGGGAAAGAACAUCAGCAAAACAAGAUCGCCCUACCAAACCUUUGAUCAUAGAAAGACCCAUUCAGAAACUAGUUCUCCUCCUCGAGAGUGAGUAAUCAGUCUAGUUGUCUGCACCUUUUAUUUCCUCAUGACAGUCUAUUCUCUCCUAGAUAUUAAGUAAUACUCACCUACACACAUCUAGAAACACUGAUACAGACAGGACUCAAGUAUGAUCCGUUCAGCCAGGUUGACCCUUGUCUUCACUCUUCAUAACAUGAGUGGUGGGAGUGUAAAUGACCACUAGCAGUGUUCUUUUAUUUUGAUGAUCCUGUUUCCUACUUAGAUUUUAUGUGACUUUUAUUUUGACAUCAUGCUAUCUGCUCACGUGAUUAAUCGCUCGCGCUCAUGCUCACGCUCACAUUUGUUUAAUAGAAGACACAAGAAGCUAGCUAGCAACUUAAUAAAUUAAGCUAAUGGCGGCGGACUUCCCUGAAUUACUACUUUAUAGCACCCUUUGAUAUUCGGAGCGAGGUAUGUGGUUCAUUGUAAUUGUAAUUCAUGUAAAUUCAUUUCAUAUAAUGACUCUUGCCUGCUAUGCCGUUAUCCAUGUAUGGUAAAGUGCAUUUGUCAAGGGAUUAUUUUGUAUCUGGCUAAAUUGUUAUUUCCCUUUUUAGUUUUCACGGUGACGGUGUUGGUGUUGGUGCUAUGCACACUCAACUGAAUUAAAGUACACCCGUCUGGAAACACUCCCAAGCCUGUUUAUUCCAAGUUGAAGGGAUGCUACAGUGAUGAUAGUGGAAACAAUGACAUUGUUACAUGGUCUCAUGUCUCCUUGUUACUUCUCAGACCACAUUUCCUUGUUCUACUUGCAGUCAGGCCUUUACUGCUCGCUGACGUGUCUCCUCCCACUUCCCGCAACACCAGUAAUUCUUGAAAAAACAACUUCCUCCUUCUCUGCCUGCUGCACUCUCUUAUUCAGAUGCCUAAUAACAUUUCACUUUGCGUUAGAGGCCCGGUUAAUUUCUAUAAAAGCUUAAAAUCAGUUUGACUCCUGAGUAUCUAAUUAAGGUAAAAUUACCAAUACCAUCGGUGUAUCUUAAGCAUCGAACAAAACAAAAUGUCUGCUUUUCAACUACGGUUGUCAUGAUACCAAAAUUAUGACUUCGAUACUAUACCUGCCAAAAUAUUACAGUACCCGAUACUUAUGAUACGAUACCACAAAUAGGAUAGGCUACUGGAAUAUUUAUCUAUGAUAGUAAUCAAUAAAAAAUCUGUAAGGUUCCCUUUUUUACCUGGCAUCUGAUUGACUGUCUGUGGGAUAAACAAUGCUUAAUUUACUUCAUAUAGCGAGUUUGAUAUUCUCACAUUCAUAUUUCCUUAACUAAAAAUAAAAAGAAUUAGGUGAAGAUCCACCCUCAGGCUCCACCAGCAUGUAGCCUAUUGCAUCAAGUGUGUAUUAUUUGACUUUGUGUAUAAUGACUUUUGUGUGCAUUCUGACUUCAUGAUCAAAAAGGCCCACAUGAGUGAAAUUGUAGGUUAUUUUGCGUGUAUAUAUUUCUGCUGGACUAUUCAGGAACUUAUUUGCUGUCUUGUCUUUGUCUUGUGUUGCACUUGCUUGAUGUUUGACUG
ensembl:lncRNA